rnacentral:tRNA from 1 species
UCCCUGGUGGUCUAGUGGUUAGGAGCCUGCACUUGCUAACCAGAGGGCACAGGUUCAAUCCCUGAUCAGGGAA